UACGGAGGGUGCAAGCGUUACCCGGAAUCACUGGGCGUAAGGGCGUGUAGGCGGUUAUUUAAGUCUGGUUUUAAAGACCGGGGCUCACCCCGGGGAUGGACUGGAGACUGGAUGACUAGACCUCUGGAGAGGCAAUCGGAAUUCCUGGUGUAGCGGUGGAAUGCGUAGAUACCAGGAGGAACACCAACGGCGAAGGCAGAUUGGCUG
rnacentral:rRNA from 1 species